AAUAUUGGACAAUGGUGGCAACCCUGAUCCAGCCAUGCCGCGUGUGUGAAGAAGGUCUNCGGUUUNUNAAGCACGUUAAGUUGGGNGGAAGGGCGUUAGGUUAAUACCCUGAAGUUUUGACGUUACCAACAGAAUAAGCACCGGCUAACUCUGUUCCAGCAGCCGCGGUAAUACAGAGGGUGCAAGCGUUAAUCGGAAUUACUGUGCGUAAAGAGCGCGUAGGUGGUUCAGUAAGAAGGGAGUGAAAUCCCCGGGCUUAAACUGAGAACUGCUUUCAUAACUGCAGAGCUAGAGUAAGGUAGAGGGUAGUGGAAGUUCCUGUGUAGCGGUGAAAUGCGUAGAUAUAGGAAGGAACACCAGUGGCGAAGGCGACUACCUGGACUGAUACUGACACUGAGGUGCGAAAGCGUGGGGAGCAAAC
rnacentral:rRNA from 1 species